UACGUAGGUGGCAAGCGUUGUCCGGAAUUAUUGGGCGUAAAGCGCGCGCAGGCGGUCCUUUAAGUCUGAUGUGAAAUCCCACGGCUUAACCGUAGACGGUCAUUGGAAACUGGAGGACUUGAGUACAGAAGAGGAGAGUGGAAUUCCAUGUGUAGCGGUGAAAUGCGUAGAGAUGUGGAGGAACACCAGUGGCGAAGGCGACUUUCUGGUCUGUAACUGACGCUGAGGCGCGAAAGCGUGGGGAGCAAACAGG
rnacentral:misc_RNA from 1 species